rnacentral:siRNA from 1 species
UCAUUUGGUUUCGAUAUGUA